rnacentral:rRNA from 1 species
CGUAGGGUGCGAGCGUUAAUCGGAAUUACUGGGCGUAAAGCGUGCGCAGGCGGUUUUGUAAGACAGGCGUGAAAUCCCCGGGCUCAACCUGGGAACUGCGCUUGUGACUGCAAGGCUAGAGUACGGCAGAGGGGGGUGGAAUUCCACGUGUAGCCGUGAAAUGCGUAGAGAUGUGGAGGAACACCAAUGGCGAAGGCAGCCCCCUGGGUCGAUACUGACGCUCAUGCACGAAAGCGUGGGUAGCAAACAGGAUUAGAUACCCUGGUAGUCCACGCCCUAAACGAUGUCAACUAGGUGUUGGGUGGGUAAAACCAUUUAGUACCGGAGCUAACGCGUGAAGUUGACCGCCUGGGGAGUACGGCCGCAAGGUUA